rnacentral:lncRNA from 1 species
CAGGCUAUGAAAUUGAUAUCUUCUGUGUUGCUGCUAAACUUGAGGGAGAUUCCUGCUUCAGCUUUAUAGUCCAACUUAUGCUCCCUUUCUGCUGAUAGGACUACGAAAUUGUAGCAUCAAAAGUUGCCGCAAAAUCAUUUUUGCUCUGAUGCUAGGCCGAAAUUACCGUUGCCGAGUAGAGCUUAUGUUGCAAAAAAGAGAAAACAGAAAUGAGUGAGCAACUAGCAGUUUGCUAAAGGAUACUGCCGAGAAGUUUGCAGUGGUUAGAAAUUCAUUUGUUGUCUAAUAUAUGCGUUAAAGUCUCACAUUCUGACAGAGGAUGCAUGACCGAUCACAUUCUGGUGAAAGACUAAAGGAUGCAUCUUGUUGAUUUGAUGAAAAAUGAUUUUGAAGGGAGACAGAGAGCCUGUGUGAUAAUUUUCAAUAUGUAUUUAUUUCCAUUUUGAUGUGCUUAUAUUUGUGUGAUCUAAUAAUAGAGGGAAUAAUACUUUAUUUGCCUUAACUAGAAAGUCCUGAAAUGCUUAUUAUUUUGAAAUGCAUGCUUUUCUCAGUGGAUCCUCAAUAACAUGAAGUCACUGUUUUUAUCACAAUUCACUCUAUUUCAAAGUACCUCGUAGUUUUCCAUGCUUCAGAAGCCAUUAAAGGUAUAUAUCUCUCUACUUACGAACUCUUUUAUAUAAUACUUCUAAGAAUAUGAUGUAUUGAUGGAUAAACUUGAGUAUUUGAUAUGAACCAAUUUCUUUUACUUGAUAGUUUCAAUUUCUAUGAGCCUAAAACAUGAAGUACUAAAUUCUCAGAAACAGAUUUUAGCUUCUUAGAAUGACUGCUGAAGAAUGCACCAAAAGGCAUAUCAUUGACAUCUAGUCUACCAGCAUCAAACAUGUUUAAGCAAUAAGCAUCAAGUUUAACCAGUUAUUUUUCCACUUAACACUAUCUUUGUUUGUAUUUUGUAUGAUGCAGGCAUUGAACCAAUGACCACUCCCAACCAUGGAGAAAUCAUAAAUAAAACUUUACAUAUGUUGGUUGGUCUACUUUAUAUAUGUUAGUGUUUUAUAUUCAUAUCAUCUUUCUUACUAUAUAUUCUUUCCAAAUUGGGUAUUUUCCCAACAAGAUAUAAGAGUACAAUAAGACUAGGCCUACGUGUGGAGUAUGAUUAGUGUCAUAGAAUCUCUGCUGAUGAUAGAUGGCAGUAGUCACUAACUGUUGCAAACGGGCAUGGUAACUGCCUAAGGGUCAAAAGACUUGUAUACACCUCUAUAGCUUGCUUAGCAAGCCAUCUACCUUCCCCAUAUUAUAUAUAUGAUAAGUGAUCUCUCUUUGUCUCACUAGAAUAACACAACAAUAACAGCAACAAAGCUGUAUUCUACUAGGUCAACUUAGUUAUAUGGAACAAAUGAGGCCAUUGCACCCUGUUGGACAUCAUGUCUAUAUACUCAAC